CACUCUCUAUGCUCUCUCUCCCCCGCUGCGGCUCUCUCUGCUGCCGCUGCGGUGAAUCUCCCCUCCGCUGUCAGUCACGGUGCAGUCAGGCAGCCGGUGGCCGGUGGUCGGUGUCUAACCGUCAGAAGUCAGAAUCCCUGUUGAAACAUCGUCUUUUCCUGACCCGUUAACUCGGCUCUAACUCACUCUCCCGGCAGCUGUUCAUCUUCUGGCGGCAAAAUGGGAAAUGAAGCCAGUUAUCCUCUGGAAAUGUGCUCACACUAAACCCUGACGAUCCUGCUGUCUGUUGGUUCCCAGAAACAGCUUAGCCUUUUCUUGCACUGUGUGGUCUGGGAGGU